rnacentral:miRNA from 1 species
GCUCGAGGUCAGUUUGUCGCC